rnacentral:lncRNA from 1 species
AAUAAAUCAUUUGGUUCGAUCCAUCACACCAAAGGCGCACAACAGUUUAAGCUAAGAACGAACAAUGAUAAAAAUCAGUCUAAUAGAUGGACCAUCAAAGGAGAAUCAACGCAUCCAGAAGCAAGGCCAACACAGGAGUUAUGCACCGCGCUAGGGACGUAGCCGGUCGAGGAAGUCCAGCCACGGAUCCUCAGAACCCUCGGACGACGGCGCCAUCCCUAUGAUGCACGGUAGGCCUCACCUGCCACAUGCUCCAUGACUUUUGCUCCCAGCGCCAACACCCUUUGAGUUCCCUCCUUUAUCUGCAGAAUUGUCGAGUGAAUUUGUUAUCCACCGACAUAUCAACCUGAUAAGCAUAACUAGAUUAUUGAUCAGCUUUCUUUCAAAAGCAAUAUCAUUUUCGCAUCUCCAAGUUGUCCAGAAGAUAGCAGCAACACCAGCUGACACCCCUUUUUUUAGUUUCAUGUUGAAAACUUCUAAUCCAUCCACUAAAGCACAAACUCAAAUUAUAAGUAAUAGAUCUCAAACUAAAAGCACACUUAAACAGCCCCCACACAUGUUUAGCCAUUGGACUCCCGAAGAAUAAGUGCUCAAUCUCUCACCUUGGCCACAAAACACACAGUUUUUGGGACCUAUCUAGCCUCUUUUCAGCAGAAUUGUCUCUAGUUAAUAUGCUAAUUUUGACCAGCGACCAAAGAAAGACUUUCAUUUUGGGCGGAUUUUAUGUUUUCAAAAAAAUGGAAAAAUCAUUAUAUAUAUAUUGCAUAGCUUAUGGUUUUCAUAUUAAAAAGCUUGUCUAUAGUUAACAUACACUCAAUAGAAUCCUUAUUGUUAGACACCACAAUUUCCCCACAUCAUGUUUUGAGGCUAUCCCAAAGAGCUAGAGUAUUACCCCACAUAUUUCUUCUAAAUUUAAAAUCCUCCAACCCUCUCAGCAAGGUAUCAACUACAAUAAUAUUGCGAGCAGUCAAACGUAAGAUAUUUUGAAAGAUUUAUUAUCCACCUACCAGUCUUUCCAAAAUCUAGUACUUUUGCCAUUACCACUUUUCGUGGAAUGCUGACAGUCUUCGAUUUUCAUGAGACUUGACUGAAAUCGGGAGUCCCCAAUCGGUUUAGUUGCAGAAAAGUAACCCAACUACCCAGGCAAACCAAAAAGGUUCUACAGGUAAAUGCCCCAACCCAUGAAAUUCAUUUCGUCCACGUUCAAAAAAACUCACCACAACUUUAGUGUAAUCUAAGAAAUCCACCCAAAAUGAAGCAUAUCCUUUGUCCAAUUGGCAGGGAUGGCUGAAAAAUUACCAAUUCUUAUAGCCUCUUUAACUAUAUUUCCAUAAGUAACAUCUAAAUUCCAUUUAAUCAUUACAUCAUCACAAUUUUGGUUACGUGUAAACUUUAGAAAGAGCCGUGGACUAAUCAUCCCCAUCAACAAUACUAUAAUCAAAAUUAUCAACUUUCAUCGAAAAAUCAAAGGAGGAACUAUUUGGAGCAUGCAAAUCACAUCUCCUAACCCCUAUUUCUCCUAGCUACAAUCCUUGCGCCAUUAAUUUGUACAAGAGAAUGCAAAUAUUUGUAGAGAUCAGCAAUCUUACUGAAACGAAAGCAGCAAAAUGGUCGCAGGAGUCCUCAUCACCAGACUCCUUCCCGGGCAGCAGCCAGAAUCGACUGCUAGCCGGGAAGACGCCUACUCAUCGCCAGCGCUCCGUGCAAGCGCCUGGAUCCACGUAGAACGUCGGGGGAACCAAGGAGAGCGACGCGACAGCUGUGCAACCACCCGGGCC